CGCGUAGGUGGUUCUGUGUGUCUACCGUGAAAGCGUACGGCUCAACCGUAUUUUGUCGGUAGAAACUGCAGGACUUGAGGCUGGGAGGGGCUGGUGGAAUUCCCUGUGUAGCGGUGAAAUGCGUAGAGAUGGGGGAGAACACUCGUGGCGAAGGCGGCCAGCUAGACCAGUUCUGACACUGAGGCGCGACAGCGUGGGGAGCAAACA
rnacentral:rRNA from 1 species